rnacentral:rRNA from 1 species
AGUUAACGCUGGCGGCGUGCCUAACACAUGCAAGUCGAGCGAAUUUUUACAGAGUAUCGUAAAAGUUAGCGGCAAACGGGUGAGUAACACAUGGGAAACCUCCCUCAGAAUGGGGAACAUCUCNCGAGAAAUACGGAGCUAAUACCGCAUAAGACCACAGUUCGGCAUCGAACAGGGGUAAAAGCAGCAAUGCGUUUUGAGAUGGUCCUGUGUCCUAUCAGCUAGUUGGUGGGGUAACGGCCUACCAAGGCUAUGACGGGUAUCCGGCCUGAAAGGGUGAACGGACACACUGGAACUGAGACACGGUCCAGACUCCUACGGGAGGCAGCAGUGGGGAAUAUUGCGCAAUGGGGGAAACCCUGACGCAGCGACGCCGCGUGAGCGAUGAAGGCUUUAGGGUCGUAAAGCUCUGUUGUAAGGGAAGAAUGUCGGAAGUGAUAAUACCGCUUUCGAAUGACGGUACCUUACGAGUAAGCCCCGGCUAACUACGUGCCAGCAGCCGCGGUAAGACGUAGGGGGCGAGCGUUGUCCGGAAUUACUGGGCGUAAAGAGCACGUAGGCGGAUAUUUAAGUCAGGUGUGAAAGACCGCAGCUCAACUGCGGGGUUGCACCUGAAACUGGGUAUCUUGAGGGCAGGAGAGGGAAGUGGAAUUCCUGGUGUAGCGGUGAAAUGCGUAGAAAUCAGGAGGUACACCAGUGGCGAAGGCGACUAUCUGGACUGACCCUGACGCUGAGGUGCGAAAGCGUGGGUAGCAGACAGGAUUAGAUACCCUGGUAGUCCACGCCGUAAACGAUGGAUACUAGGUGUAGGAGGUAUCGACCCCUUCUGUGCCGCAGCUGACGCAAUAAGUAUCCCGCCUGGGGAGUACGGUCGCAAGGCUGACACUCAAAGGAAUUGACGGGGGCCCGCACAAGCGGUGGAGCAUGUGGUUUAAUUCGAUGCAACGCGAAGAACCUUACCAGGUCUUGACAUCUGUAGAACCUUUACGAAAGUAGGGGGUGCGUUCGGGAGCUACAAGACAGGUGGUGCAUGGUUGUCGUCAGUCUCGUUGUCGUUGAGAUGUUGGGUUAAGUCCCGCAACGAGCGCAACCCUUGCUAUUAGUUGCUAACAGGUUAAGCUGAGCACUCUAAUGGGACUGCCCGUGACAAGCGGGAGGAAGGUGGGGAUGACGUCAAAUCCAUUCAUGCCCCUUUAUGAUUCUGGGCUAGCGCGCGUGCUAGCAAUGGAUGGUACAGAGAGCAGGCGAGGCCGCGAGGUGGAGCGAAUCUCAAAAAGCCAUUCUCAGUUCGGAUUGCAGUCUGCAACUCGACUGCAUGAAGUCGGAAUCGCUAGUAAUCGCGGAUCAGCACGUCGCGGUANAUGCGUUGCCCGGGGCCUUGUACAGCAGCCGCCCGUCACAGCCACGAAAGUCGGCAACAGCCCGAAGGCCGGUGAGCUAACUAGCAGAUAGAGGCAGGCCGUCGAAGGUGGGGUUGGUGAUUGGGGUG